GCUCAGUGGUAGAGCUCCCGCUUCGUAUGCGGGAAGACCUGGGUUCGAUUCCCUG
rnacentral:tRNA from 1 species